rnacentral:tRNA from 1 species
GUUGAAAUAAUUUAUUAAAAAUGUUGAUUUUGUAAAUCAAAUUUGGUCAAAACCUUUCAAUU